rnacentral:lncRNA from 1 species
GGUAUGGAAGAUUCAUCGCAGAACCAUAAAUCAAGCUUUUAACCAGAAGGUACUUAACACCUUUCAGGAUAUCUUUUUGCAAAAAUCAGAAAUAUUUGCGGAUGUGCUUCAGAAGGAGGUGGGAAAUAAAAAUAUAGAUCUUUAUACCUUGCUAGCUGGUUGCACCAUGGAUAUGGUAUGUGAAACAGCGCUUGGAGUCAAUAUGAAUGUUCAAAUCUCAAAAGAAGUGGAA